ACGUGCACGGCGAGAACAUGAAAAAAUCAAAAGCCAUGUUCUGCAUACCAAUUGGGACAACGCCUGCGACGAGAACGAGAAAGAGAAAGAUCGAAGGAAUGUAUUAACCCAAGACAACCUUCUUUAACACCAAAUUGGCCUCCUCCUACAACUCCAUGUAGAAAUGUUGGUGUGGUCAUCCGUGAUGAGCACGACCUUAAUGUUAUCCGUGUUCGUGCGGCAAAAGAUAAAGAAAAGGUCAACCCAAUGUCUAAAGGAAAAGAAAAGAUGGCUCAUUCCGGCAAGAGAAUGACAAAUGCAUU